GUGCGCGCUCCCGCAGUCUGAAAGGCUUCUGGGCUGGUGGCCGACUUGGGACCCCCUGGCCAUGACUGGCGACCUGGCGGGACUUCCGGAGACACCAUGCUCCAUGUUGGAGAUGUCAAGUCUUAUCAAACCGGUCCUUGACUGUAAUAGAUUAAAAGUCUAGUUGAUAAGAUAAGAAAUACAGAUUUUUUAAAGUAUCUAAAAGGAUUGGAUGAUUCUCUUCACUUCUCUGAACCUUGGUUUCCUCAUCUUGGAAAAGAGGGAUUUACCCGAACAAGUUGGAGGAAUUUACGAGAAAAAACAUUAUCCACAUUCAGAGGAAAAACUGUGGGAGUAGAAACACAGAAGAAAAACAACUGCUUGAAUACAUCAAGGGGAUCAAGGAGAUACGGCUGGGGAUGUAGACUCUAAAUGAACAUCCUAAUGCAAACACCAGCAACAUGGAAAUAGGUUCUGAUCAAGGACACAUGUAAUACCCAAUGAAAUUGCAUGUUGGCUAUGGGAAGGGUGGAGGGAGGGGAGGGAGGGAAAUAAUGUGAUUCUUGUAACCAAGGAAUAAUGUUCUGAAUUGACUAAAUUAAUUUUUAAAAAAAGAAGAAAAGAGGGAUUUAAACUAGAUAAUAUUCAGGUUAAAUGCUGUCAUUCCCUAAUUAACAUAUGCCAAGUGCCAAGUAACAGGCACAAAAUGCUACCAGAGUUCUGGGACUCCUAGAGAAGACCCUCCAGUUAUUAAUGCCCUCACCACCAGCAGCAACAAUAUCAAUCAAUAUUGAUUUAUAUUUAUUUUUUUUUCAAUAUUUUAAAAAAUUUAUCUGUAUCAUGUUUUCCCCCAACUUAAUGUAAAUUCAUUAAGGGCAAAAAUUCUCAUCUUUGUGUUUGUAUCCAUAGCAGAAUGCCUGACAUAUACUAGGUGCUUAGUAAAUGCUUGAUUAAGUAAAUUAAAUUGGGAAGCAACCAACAGUGAGAGCUGAAAAUUUCAGGUCUCAAGGAGUAAAACAUGAAAAUAGGACACUACCAGAUUUAGAGGACCUGAACUAAACUUUUUUAAAAUUCUUAAACUCCACCUUAUAAUCAAUACCAUGUAUUGAUUCCAAGGCAGAAGAGUGAUAAGGGCUAGGCAAUGGGGGUUAAGUGACUUGCCCAGAGUCACACAGCUAGGAAGUGUCCAAGUCCAAAUUUAAACUUAGCUGCCCACCUAAAAAUUUUUUGAAUGAAAUUAUAUGAAAAAUAGCACCAAAGAAUGAAGAUAAUUUGAACCUAAAGAACUAUUUUUAAGACUUUUUCUCUGCAAAUGUGCUAAUUAUUGGUCAACAAUCUAACUUUUAAGCAAGGCAAGUUGAAAUUAAUCAUGGGAAGGCCACCAUAGAAAACCCCCUCAUGUCGGAAUCAUCUUCUGAAUUAUAUCUUACUCUGAUGAUGAUUUGGAAAGUAGUAACUGACUGCCCUUUUACCUUCACUGGAAGUCAAUUAUAUAAUCUUAUAAUGAACAAGGCAUGAUAAGAUAGAGGGACACAAAAUCUAUAUGAUAACAUCCAAGACUGGUCACCUCUGCUUCCUUCUGCCUGUCUCAAGAUUCAACUUCCCAAUCAUAAUGAAGCAUCUGGGUCUUGGCCAGCUGCCAUUAUUUGGAAAGUUUACAUGAGGUAAUCCAAAAUGACCAAGAUUAUAACUAUAGCAAUCUGAGAUUCUAUUGGCUGAUGACUAAGACUGCCAAAGAACAGCAUUGUGGGGAAAUUCUGAGCCUGAAGUAUACAUGUAGGUGAAAAUCAUAACAAGAGAUAUCUCAAUUGCUGAAUCUGCCAAUGAUAAUGAAUCCAGCUGGACUACUGAUAGGGGAAAGGGAGAUUGAUUUCCAAACCUUUACUUUUUUCCUCUUUCUUUCCCCUUCUAUAUUAUAGGAUCUAGAGACAAGUUGUAGAUAUCCAUACCAUUCCCUUACUAUUUUCCAUGCAUCAUGGGUAUAGGUAAGCAGGGAAAAUUUUAUAAGCUGGCCAGAGGAGAAUGGCUCCAUAUAGGAAAGCACGGUUGAUUUCUUUUCUUUUUUUUUUACUUUGUUCAAUAAAUGUGAAACAGUGGAAAGAGUAUUGACUCUAGUCAGAGGACCUAGGUUUAAAUUUCUUCUCUGGUAUAUUACUAUCUGUAUGACCUUGAGCAAGUCAUUUGACCAAUUUGGGACUCAGUUUUCUAAUCUCUAAAAUGAAGCAAUUAGAGUAGAUGGUCUCUGAAGUCCCUUCUAGCUCUAGGUCUAUUAUCCUAUGAUUUGAUAGGAUCACAGUACGUUGAGUAUCCAAGUCCUCUGGAUAGGGGUAGGGUAAGUCAGUGCUCAAAGAAAAGAGAAUAUAGAACUAUGAAGAAGGCUCUGGAGUUAUGUACAGACCAUAAACUAUAAUUUUAUGAUUUAAGUAAUAAUUAUAUUUCAUACCCUACCUGAAUUCCAAAUGUAGCCUUUUGAUGUCCUGGGUUUAGUAAAUGGAGUGAAGAAAGAGGGAUGUAGAGUGCCAUAUGGGAGAUGGAGAGAGGGUAAUCACAACAUUAGUGGACUAAAUUCCUUCUGGUGGCCAAUAGAGGAUACUACAACUUUUUAAAAAGGUUCUACCAUACUUGCACCAGAGGUUCAGCUAAGACUAUUAUCUAGUGAUGCGAGUAGAGCUCUAUCUUGUGGACAAUUCAUAUAUUGCACUCUUUCACUGGAUAAUUAGCUGAAUUUCUGUAGGCUUAAAGAAGGCAGCACUCAAGCCACAUAAGCCUGUUUUAACUGUUUAAAUUGCCAGAAGUAUCACAAUAAUUUUAAAGACAUUCUCUUUUUCCCUCACCAAAAUACAUCUGGAUCUGCUAUGAUCAUAGAGUUCCCUGAAAGAGAAAAGGAAUUACUCUCUAAAACCAGAAUCUAACAAUAUGUUGUUUAUAAAAGACAUUUGAAGCAGAAACACACAGAGCAUGAAAAUAAGGGGCUGGGACAGAAUCUAUGAUUAUGUUUCAACCAAUGUGGAAAAAAAAAGUGAGGGUAGCAAUUGUGGCUUCACAUAAAGUAAAUGUGAAAAUAGAUCUAAUUAAAAGAGAUAACCUGGGAAGCUACUGGUAUUGGGAGUACUAUGGACAAUGAAGUAAUAGCAUUACUGAUCAUUUAUGUACCAAAUGGUAUUGCAUUCCAAUUCUAAAAAGAAAUGAGUUACAGGCAGAAAUAGGCAAUGAAACCAUAGCAGUAAGAGAGCUCAACUUUCCCCUCAGAACUGGAUAAAUCUAGCCAUAAAAUAAAUAAGAAAGAAGUUAAGAGGUAUAGAUAGGAAAAAAAAAGAGAGAGAGGUAUAGAGUUUUAAAAAUGUUAGAUAUGACAGACCUCUGGAGAAAACUGAAUGGGAACAAAAAGGGGUAUUUUUCUCAUCUGUACAUGGCACCUUCACAAAAAUUGGCCAUGUGUUAGGGCAUUAAAAACCUCACAACCAAAUACAGAAAAGCAGAAAUAUUAAGUGUGUUCUUUUCAGACUAUAAUGCAAUAAAAAUUAUAUUCAAUAAAGGGGUAUGGAAAUAGAUUAAAAAUUAGUUAGAAACUAACUAACCAAAUCCUAAAGAAUGAGUGGGUCUUUUAGAACAAAUCAUAGAAACAACCAAUAAUUUCAUUAAAGAGAAUAACAACAAUGAGGCAAUACACCAAAAUUUAUGGGAUAUGGCCAAAGCGGUACUUAAAAUGAAAUUUAUGACUAAAUGCUUAUAUCAAUAAAAUAGAUAGAACAGAUCAAUAAAUUAGAUAUGCAACUAAAAAAAACUAGAGAAAGAACAAAUUUAAAACCCCCAAUUAAAACACUAAAUAAAAAAAACAAAGUCAAAGGAGAGAUUAAUAAAAUUGAAAGUAAGGAAACCAUCGAACUAAUAAAUAAACGUAGGAGCUGGCUUUAUGGGACAAAUAAAUAAAUAGAUAGAUAAAUAAAUGAGCAAAUAAAUAAAUGAUCGGUUAAACUCAUUUAAAAAAAGAAAACCAAAUUACCAAUAUCAAAUAUGAAAAGGGUGAAUUUACCACCAAUGAACAGGAAAUUAAAGGCCAGGAGUAGGACUGCUGGAUCAAAGGGUAUAAACAAUUUAGUCAUUUUUCUUGUAUAACUUGAAAUUAUCUAAAAUAGCUGAAACAAUCCUAAACUUGUAGAAUUCUUAAUUUUCAUUUCCAUCAGAACUCUGUUUAGACUCCAGGGAAUAUCAAAUCUGACACAGGAUGUGUUGAUCACCUGAAAUCUCACUAACAUGCCAACUGACUCAGUUUUUUGAUAUUCAAUGUCUUUCCUCAUAUCCCUCAGUUGCCUCUCCCUUCUAAUUGGACAGCUAGAGGGUAGAACAGUAAACUCCUCCAAAAGUCUUCCUUUAUAGGACUCUAAACUUCCCAAGUAACUCCCCAUUUUCCAUUAGCAGCUCUGCUUGGUUUUGACUCUACAGUAACAUCAUACAUGUACCCUCUAGUCCCCCUUCCCCUUUCAGGCUCCUUUUGUGUCUUGUUCUCCCCUCAUUAGAUUGUAAGAUCCUUGAGAAUAAGGACUGCCUUUCUUUUUCUUAUUUGUAUUCCCAGUGUGAAGCGCAAUGCCUUCAGAACAUAGCAGAUGCUUAAUAAAUGUUUACUGAAUUGAAUUGAAUUAAAAGUAAACCAACUCCCAGUUGUGUAACCCUGGGCAAGUCACUUGACCCCCAUUGCCUAGCCCUUACCACUCUUCUUCCUUGGAGUCAAUACACAGUAUUGACUCCAAGACAGAAGGUAAAGGUUUAAAAAAAAAAAAGUAAACCAACACUUGAAUCAUUUCCAGCUUGGUAAGAUCAACUGUUUGUUUUGUUGUUAUUGUUCAGUCACGUGGAAUUUUCUUGGCAAAGAUAAUAGAGUGAUUUGUCAUUUCCUUCUCUAGCUCAUUUUAUGGAUGAGAAAACUGAGGCAAACAGGGUUAAGUGACUUAUUCAAGGUCACACAGCUAGUAAGUCUAAGGCCAGAUUUUAACUCAUAGAGAGGAAUCUUCCUGAUUCCAAGCCUAGCGCUCUUAUCCAGCCUAGUGCUCUAUCCAGUUGUUUAGCUAGGUGGCACAAUAAAAUAAGGUGUUGGGCCUGCAGUCAGGAAGACACUAGUUGUGUGACCCUGAGCAACUCACUUAGACUUCUUUGACUCAAUUGCCUUAUCUGUAAAAUGAGUUGGAGAAGGAAAUGGCAAACCACUCCAUUAUCUUUGCCAAGAAAACCCCAAAUGAAGUUACCAAGAGUCAGACACAACUGAACAAUAACAACAACAAAGAUGAACUAGAGUUUAUACUCACUGCCAAAAUCUUUGAUAGCACAAAGUUGUCUCCAUACUAUAAUGUGACAUCAAAAUAAAACUUUUGCUACUAGUUGCAAUGCAAUAAUCCAGGACAAUCCCAAGGGAUUUAUGAGAAAGAAUACUAUCCACAUCUAGAGAAAGAACUGUAGGAGUAGAAGAAAAACAUGAUUUAUCACUUUUGUUUUUUAAAUGCUUACCUUCCAUCUUAGAAUCAAUACUAUUGGUUCCAAGGCAGAAGAGUGAUAAGGGCUAGACAAUGGAGGUAAAAUGACUUGCCUGGGGUCACACAGCUAGGACGUGUCUGAGGCCGAAUUUGAACCUAGGGCCUGAGUCUCUGAGUCUGACUCUCAAUCCCUUGAGCCACCCAGCUGCCCCUUUAUUACUUGUUUAUAUGGGUGUAUGAUUUGGGUUUUGGUUUUAAAAGAUUAUUCUAUUACAAAAAUGAAUAAUAUGGAAUAGGUAUCAAGUGAUAACACAUGUAUAACUCAAUAGACUUGCUUGUCAGCUUCAGGAGUGAGGAGGGAAGAGGGGAGGGAAAGAACAUGAAUUUGGAACCAUAGGAAAAAUAUAUUAAAAUAAAUAAAUUUUUUAAAAAAGAAGAAAACUUUACUGGAGCAGUAGAGUCCAAGGACCAGCUUACCGGGUUCAAGAAAAUCAUCACUAGGGUUAUGAAUAUUUUGGCCAUAAUAAAAAAGACUAUUUGAUGAAUUUGUAGAAAGGUUAUAAGCAAUCAAUGGAAGGGAAAUCCCUUAAAGAAAAUCACAAAUACUUAAGUAUUUAAAUAAAUAUUCUUUCUACUAAA